rnacentral:rRNA from 1 species
ACGCACGCUGGCGGCGUGCUUAACACAUGCCAGUCGAACGGAAAGGCCCUGCUCUUGUGGGGUGCUCGAGUGGCGAACGGGUGAGUAACACGUGAGUAACCUGCCCUUGACUUUGGGAUAACUUCAGGAAACUGGGGCUAAUACCGGAUAGGAGCUCCUGCUGCAUGGUGGGGGUUGGAAAGUUUCGGCGGUUGGGGAUGGACUCGCGGCUUAUCAGCUUGUUGGUGGGGUAGUGGCUUACCAAGGCUUUGACGGGUAGCCGGCCUGAGAGGGUGACCGGCCACAUUGGGACUGAGAUACGGCCCAGACUCCUACGGGAGGCAGCAGUGGGGAAUAUUGCACAAUGGGCGGAAGCCUGAUGCAGCAACGCCGCGUGCGGGAUGACGGCCUUCGGGUUGUAAACCGCUUUCGCCUGUGACGAAGCGUGAGUGACGGUAAUGGGUAAAGAAGCACCGGCUAACUACGUG